UCGUCGGUCGAAGUAAAUAGGUAUUGUGGUUGCAUCGGUUUUGAUUUUUUUUCUCCAAAACCCUCGAAGAAAAAUAGAGACAGAAGAGAACGGCGAGCGACUCUGAACUGCGAGCCAAAGGUAGCUGCGAGCGACUGUGUAGAAACGGUGUAGAUAGAGGAGAAACGGAGUAAAAACGGAGUAGAACGACUCUGAACUGCCUUCGUUUUCAUAGAGGUCGUGUUCCAUCCAUUUUUCCAUUUGUUGGAUUUUCUGUUUUAAGAGAGAGUCCUAACCUCUUUAUUUCUGGUGGGAGGUACUUGUCAUAGAAGUUCGGCCAAGCUUGCUGUCUGGGAAAACAGAAAGGUUUCCUCUGGAUGAUGUCUUCCGGAUUGAUUUACCGAAGGAAAUUGGCUGCAUAGAUGCUGAUCUUGUAAUUCAGAUCAAGGAACGUGUUGCAUGUGAAAUGAAUUCUGGGGAAGAGUUGAUAUGCACAAAUGUUUGUUUGAGAACCAACUGGAUGAUCUGGAACCAGAUCAAGCUAUAGCUCUUAUGUCUGCCCUUGUAUUUCAACAGAAGAACCAGAAGAAGUUGAGCCUACUCUUACUUUCAAAACUGCACUCAGCAAGAGAUUUGCUAGAUUCUGUAAUUUCAAAAAGAAGUCUCUAACAAAAGGAUUUUUGUUAUUUUUUA